GAUUAACGCUAGCGGCAGGCCUAAUACAUGCAAGUCGAACGAGAUUCAGAAUAGCAAUAUUUUGAUGAAAGUGGCGCACGGGUGCGUAACACGUAUGCAAUUUGCCUUUAACUGGGGGAUAGCCUUCCGAAAGGAAGAUUAAUACCGCAUAAUAUAUUUGAAAAGCAUUUUUUGAAUAUUAAACUUACGGGGGUUAAAGAUGAGCAUGCGUCCGAUUAGCUAGUUGGUGAGGUAACGGCUCACCAAGGCAACGAUCGGUAGGGGGUCUGAGAGGAUGAUCCCCCACACUGGUACUGAGACACGGACCAGACUCCUACGGGAGGCAGCAGUAAGGAAUAUUGGACAAUGGGCGCAAGCCUGAUCCAGCCAUGCCGCGUGAAGGAUUAAGGCCCUAUGGGUUGUAAACUUCUUUUAUACGGGACAAAACCCCUCUACGUGUAGAGGGUUGAUGGUACUGUAAAGAAUAAGCAGUCGGCUAACUUCGUGCCAGCAGCCGACGGUAAAACGUAGCGU
rnacentral:rRNA from 1 species